AACUUAUGAAAGAAAAUGAUCCGAAAAUUUCUUUUCAUCUUGCAUCACCAGUUCACGCAUGCAUGGCUUUUCAUUGGUCGAAAUUUUGUUUAUUCCUUAUGUUCUAUUCUGUGUUCCUUAUUCCUCUCAUUGUGUCUGGGCCCUUCAUAGAUAUAGAAAAGAGAGAUGGAGCCUGACCUUAGUAUUUAGACAAGGGAGGUGAAGCCAUUGCGGGAGGAGCGACGAGCAUUAGGUAGAAGCCUAGCAAUAAGACAUCUUCGAUCAAAGUCCUCUUCUUUAAAAUGAUCAGAGCAUACGCGUGAUGAACCAUUAAUUGUAGUCUCAUUAAGAUGCGAGAUCUGAAUCCACAUAUUACAUCUUUUCGGAUCACUUGGAAUGCUUUAAAAUGGCUUUUAUUAGUAAUUAUAAUUAUACAAAAAUAAACUUACACAUGUUACACACAUUUAUCAUUGCUUUUAAUACAUAACAAAGAACCUACCUAAGGAA
rnacentral:lncRNA from 1 species